rnacentral:rRNA from 1 species
UGGGGAAUAUUGGACAAUGGGCGAAAGCCUGAUCCAGCCAUGCCGCGUGUGUGAAGAAGGUCUUCGGAUUGUAAAGCACUUUAAGUUGGGAGGAAGGGCAGUAAGUUAAUACCUUGCUGUUUGACGUACCGACAG